GAGCAACGGUUUUGUAAACCGUCGGUCGUCGGUUCGACUCCGGCUACUGGCU
rnacentral:tRNA from 1 species